AUUGAACGCUGGCGGCAGGCUUAACACAUGCAAGUUGGGCGGGGGAAGGUAGCUUGCUACCGGACCUAGCGGCGGACGGGUGAGUAAUGCUUAGGAAUCUGCCUAUUAGUGGGGGACAACAUCUCGAAAGGGAUGCUAAUACCGCAUACGUCCUACGGGAGAAAGCAGGGGAUCUUCGGACCUUGCGCUAAUAGAUGAGCCUAAGUCGGAUUAGCUAGUUGGUGGGGUAAAGGCCUACCAAGGCGACGAUCUGUAGCGGGUCUGAGAGGAUGAUCCGCCACACUGGGACUGAGACACGGCCCAGACUCCUACGGGAGGCAGCAGUGGGGAAUAUUGGACAAUGGGGGGAACCCUGAUCCAGCCAUGCCGCGUGUGUGAAGAAGGCCUUGUGGUUGUAAAGCACUUUAAGCGAGGAGGAGGCUACUCUAGUUGAUACCUAGGGAUAGUGGACGUUACUCGCAGAAUAAGCACCGGCUAACUCUGUGCCAGCCGCCGCAGUAA
rnacentral:rRNA from 1 species